UACGUAGGCGGUUUCAUAAGUCAGAUGUAAAAGCGUGGGGCUCAACCCCAUAAAGCAUUUGAAACUGUGGAACUUGAGUAGUGGAGAGGAAAGUGGAAUUCCUAGUGUAGCGGUGAAAUGCGUAGAUAUUAGGAGGAGUACCAGUGGCGAAGGCGACUUUCUGGACACAAACUGACGCUGAGGUACGAAAGCAUGGGGAAGCAAACA
rnacentral:rRNA from 1 species